GAUGAACGCUGGCGGCGUGCUUAACACAUGCAAGUCGAACGAAGCACUUUAACCUGAUUCUUCGGAUGAAGGUUUUUGUGACUGAGUGGCGGACGGGUGAGUAACGCGUGGGUAACCUGCCUCAUACAGGGGGAUAACAGUUAGAAAUGGCUGCUAAUACCGCAUAAGACCACAGAGCCGCAUGGCUCGGUGGGAAAAACUCCGGUGGUAUGAGAUGGACCCGCGUCUGAUUAGGUAGUUGGUGGGGUAACGGCCUACCAAGCCAACGAUCAGUAGCCGACCUGAGAGGGUGACCGGCCACAUUGGGACUGAGACACGGCCCAAACUCCUACGGGAGGCAGCAGUGGGGAAUAUUGCACAAUGGGGGAAACCCUGAUGCAGCGACGCCGCGUGAGCGAAGAAGUAUUUCGGUAUGUAAAGCUCUAUCAGCAGGGAAGAAAAUGACGGUACCUGACUAAGAAGCACCGGCUAAAUACGUG
rnacentral:rRNA from 1 species